UUUACGGAGAGUUUGAUCCUGGCUCAGGAUGAACGCUGGCGGCGUGCUUAACACAUGCAAGUCGAACGGUGAAGCAGAGCUUGCUCUGUGGAUCAGUGGCGAACGGGUGAGUAACACGUGAGCAACCUGCCCCUGACUCUGGGAUAAGCGCUGGAAACGGCGUCUAAUACUGGAUACGAGCUGCGACCGCAUGGUCAGCAGUUGGAAAGAUUUUUCGGUCUGGGAUGGGCUCGCGGCCUAUCAGCUUGUUGGUGAGGUAAUGGCUCACCAAGGCGUCGACGGGUAGCCGGCCUGAGAGGGUGACCGGCCACACUGGGACUGAGACACGGCCCAGACUCCUACGGGAGGCAGCAGUGGGGAAUAUUGCACAAUGGGCGAAAGCCUGAUGCAGCAACGCCGCGUGAGGGACGACGGCCUUCGGGUUGUAAACCUCUUUUAGCAGGGAAGAAGCGAAAGUGACGGUACCUGCAGAAAAAGCGCCGGCUAACUACGUGCCAGCAGCCGCGGUAAUACGUAGGGCGCAAGCGUUAUCCGGAAUUAUUGGGCGUAAAGAGCUCGUAGGCGGUUUGUCGCGUCUGCUGUGAAAUCCCGAGGCUCAACCUCGGGCCUGCAGUGGGUACGGGCAGACUAGAGUGCGGUAGGGGAGAUUGGAAUUCCUGGUGUAGCGGUGGAAUGCGCAGAUAUCAGGAGGAACACCGAUGGCGAAGGCAGAUCUCUGGGCCGUAACUGACGCUGAGGAGCGAAAGGGUGGGGAGCAAACAGGCUUAGAUACCCUGGUAGUCCACCCCGUAAACGUUGGGAACUAGUUGUGGGGUCCAUUCCACGGAUUCCGUGACGCAGCUAACGCAUUAAGUUCCCCGCCUGGGGAGUACGGCCGCAAGGCUAAAACUCAAAGGAAUUGACGGGGACCCGCACAAGCGGCGGAGCAUGCGGAUUAAUUCGAUGCAACGCGAAGAACCUUACCAAGGCUUGACAUAUACGAGAACGGGCCAGAAAUGGUCAACUCUUUGGACACUCGUAAACAGGUGGUGCAUGGUUGUCGUCAGCUCGUGUCGUGAGAUGUUGGGUUAAGUCCCGCAACGAGCGCAACCCUCGUUCUAUGUUGCCAGCACGUAAUGGUGGGAACUCAUGGGAUACUGCCGGGGUCAACUCGGAGGAAGGUGGGGAUGACGUCAAAUCAUCAUGCCCCUUAUGUCUUGGGCUUCACGCAUGCUACAAUGGCCGGUACAAAGGGCUGCAAUACCGUGAGGUGGAGCGAAUCCCAAAAAGCCGGUCCCAGUUCGGAUUGAGGUCUGCAACUCGACCUCAUGAAGUCGGAGUCGCUAGUAAUCGCAGAUCAGCAACGCUGCGGUGAAUACGUUCCCGGGUCUUGUACACACCGCCCGUCAAGUCAUGAAAGUCGGUAACACCUGAAGCCGGUGGCCCAACCCUUGUGGAGGGAGCCGUCGAAGGUGGGAUCGGUAAUUAGGACUAAGUCGUAACAAGGUAGCCGUACCGGAAGGUGCGGCUGGAUCACCUCCUUU
rnacentral:rRNA from 1 species